CAGCCGCCGCGGUAAUACGUAGGGCGCAAGCGUUGUCCGGAAUUAUUGGGCGUAAAGAGCUCGUAGGCGGUCUGUCGCGUCGGAUGUGAAAGCCCGGGGCUUAACCCCGGGUCUGCAUUCGAUACGGGCAGACUAGAGUGUGGUAGGGGAGAUCGGAAUUCCUGGUGUAGCGGUGAAAUGCGCAGAUAUCAGGAGGAACACCGGUGGCGAAGGCGGAUCUCUGGGCCAUUACUGACGCUGAGGAGCGAAAGCGUGGGGAGCGAACAGGAUUAGAUACCCUGGUAGUCCACGCCGUAAACGGUGGGAACUAGGUGUUGGCGACAUUCCACGUCGUCGGUGCCGCAGCUAACGCAUUAAGCGCCCCGCCUGGGGAGUACGGCCGCANGGANAAAACUCAAAUGAAUUGACGG
rnacentral:rRNA from 1 species